GUUUCGGCGGUUGGGGAUGGACUCGCGGCUUAUCAGCUUGUUGGUGGGGUAGUGGCUUACCAAGGCUUUGACGGGUAGCCGGCCUGAGAGGGUGCCCGGCCACAUUGGGACUGAGAUACGGCCCAGACUCCUACGGGGAGGCAGCAGUGGGGAAUAUUGCACAAUGGGCGGAAGCCUGAUGCAGCAACGCCGCGUGCGGGAUGACGGCCUUCGGGUUGUAAACCGCUUUCGCCUGUGACGAAGCGUGAGUGACGGUAAUGGGUAAAGAAGCACCGGCUAACUACGUG
rnacentral:rRNA from 1 species